rnacentral:rRNA from 1 species
AGCAUAUUAAUAAGCGGAGGAAAAGAAACUAACAAGGAUUCCCUCAGUAACGGCGAGUGAAGCGGGAAGAGCUCAAAUUUGAAAUCUCCGGUGCUUGCAUCGGCGAGUUGUAGUUGCGAGAAGCACUUUCUAGGUGGAUCRGCGGUGCCUAAGUUGCUUGGAACAGCACGUCGCAGAGGGUGACAACCCCGUCUGUGGCGCCGCCGGCCGCUGACGAUGUGCUUUCGAAGAGUCGGGUUGUUUGGGAAUGCAGCCCAAAAUGGGUGGUAAACUCCAUCUAAAGCUAAAUACUGGCGUGAGACCGAUAGCGAACAAGUACCGUGAGGGAAAGAUGAAAAGAACUUUGAAAAGAGAGUUAAAAAGUACGUGAAACCGUCGGAAGGGAAACGAAUGGACUCAGCAAUGCGCCCUCUGAGAUUCAGCCGCGUGGGUGGCGUCGGCGCGGGGUUUGCGGAUCUGAAUGGACCGCGGCCCGGCGCUCGCUGCUCCCCGCCGUCGCACUUCUCUGGGGCGCGCGUCAACGUGGGUUGGGACUGGGUCUGAAAGGUGCCGGGAAGGUAGGUGUGGGCCUUCGGGUCCGUUCUGUUACAGCCCGGUUCUCUCAUGGCUCGGGCCCGACCGAGGAGCAGACAGGGCAUGCYUCCUGUGGCUAGGGUCCCGUCCUUCCGGCCGGCUGUCCAGUGUGGUGGACUGCUUGCAGUGCUCUGCGACGGCUGCCGGUCGUUGGGGUGGUGAUCUCGUACCAUGCCCUUGGGAUGUUGGCGGUCAUAUGGGUGC